UACGUAGGGCGCAAGCGUUAUCCGGAAUUAUUGGGCGUAAAGAGCUCGUAGGCGGUUUGCCGCGUCUGCCGUGAAAGUCCGGGGCUCAACUCCGGAUCUGCGGUGGGUACGGGCAGACUAGAGUGAUGUAGGGGAGACUGGAAUUCCUGGUGUAGCGGUGAAAUGCGCAGAUAUCAGGAGGAACACCGGUGGCGAAGGCGGGUCUCUGGGCCGAAACUGACGCUGAGGAGCGAAAGCGUGGGGAGCAAACAGG
rnacentral:rRNA from 1 species